UCUCUGUCCCUCCUGGCUGUGUGGCCUUGCAUAGGUAGCUUUCCUUCUCUGAGCCCUUGCCACCCCCCUCAUCUCCAGAAUCUCCACUAGAGUGCUGCCCAUACAUGUCACAUGGGUCACCAGCCUCCCCAGUGAGCCUUCCAUAAAGCCAACAAGACCCUGAGGUUGAGACUGCAUGACUAAAUCACAUCCACACCUUCUGCCACAUAGCAAACUGUCCCUAAGACACUCACAGUCAUUAGCAUAUACUGGCAAGCUCAGGGAAAAGGAGCUCCCUGAUCCAACUUUCCUAUCUUAACUCCAAAUCCCAUUAUUUCAGGUCAACAAACAUUCACCAAGCACCUACUCUGUGCCAGGUGCUAUAGUGAGGAAUCAGAAUAAACAAAGCAUGGUCCUGACAACCCAGCAUUUUACCCUUUUUUCUGGGCUCCUGAAGAUCUGCUGCAUCAGAAGCCCAGCAGGAAACCAGAGGCGUGCUCAAACGUGGCAACUGGAGGAGUUUAACAAAGUGUCUUACUUACAAAGGCCAGAGCAAGGCUGGGGCAAACCAGAGGGUCAGUGCAGUAUUCCAGAGCCACCACUUCCAGCUUUGGGAACAAAAUGACCAAAAGCAAGUUCAGUCUAAACAAGACAGGACUCAAGUGAACAUGGGAAGCUAUUACCUCCAAGUUUCUAGCAAGGUUCUCCUAUGCACAGGGAGGAGAGAAAGUCAAUGUGGUACCCACAAGAUUGGAGCCCAUGAGCCAAAGUGAUGGGGAGGCGUAUUUAAGCUCCAUAAAAGAACUGCUUAACAAUGAAAACUGUUGAACCAUUAAAUGAUGUACUUUGUAAAGAAAUGAGCUCUUUACCACCAGAAGAAUUCAACUUCAAGUAUGACAACCUCUAGCCAGAUGGAUCCCAGCAUCUACCAAAUAGGAUGUUAGACCAGACCCCAUCAAGGAUUCCUUCUGCUCUGAGAGUGGGGAGUGCUAACAAGGCAUGCUGAUAUCUCCAUGUUAGUCUUUAUAAAGACCAAAUGAAUUUCUCCAACAAACUCUUAGAGUGUCUGCAGCACCAGCUGAGAAAAAUUACACCGACACUUCUGACCACAUCACUUAUUAAAAAAC
rnacentral:lncRNA from 13 species